UGUAUUUGACUCAUGCCAAUGUCUAAAGU
rnacentral:sRNA from 1 species